UGCAAGUCGAGCGGACAGAUGGGAGCUUGCUCCCUGAUGUUAGCGGCGGACGGGUGAGUAACACGUGGGUAACCUGCCUGUAAGACUGGGAUAACUCCGGGAAACCGGGGCUAAUACCGGAUGGUUGUCUGAACCGCAUGGUUCAGACAUAAAAGGUGGCUUCGGCUACCACUUACAGAUGGACCCGCGGCGCAUUAGCUAGUUGGUGAGGUAACGGCUCACCAAGGCGACGAUGCGUAGCCGACCUGAGAGGGUGAUCGGCCACACUGGGACUGAGACACGGCCCAGACUCCUACGGGAGGCAGCAGUAGGGAAUCUUCCGCAAUGGACGAAAGUCUGACGGAGCAACGCCGCGUGAGUGAUGAAGGUUUUCGGAUCGUAAAGCUCUGUUGUUAGGGAAGAACAAGUGCCGUUCAAAUAGGGCGGCACCUUGACGGUACCUAACCAGAAAGCCACGGCUAACUACGUGCCAGCAGCCGCGGUAAUACGUAGGUGGCAAGCGUUGUCCGGAAUUAUUGGGCGUAAAGGGCUCGCAGGCGGUUUCUUAAGUCUGAUGUGAAAGCCCCCGGCUCAACCGGGGAGGGUCAUUGGAAACUGGGGAACUUGAGUGCAGAAGAGGAGAGUGGAAUUUCCACGUGUAGCGGUGAAAUGCGUAGAGAUGUGGAGGAACACCAGUGGCGAAGGCGACUCUCUGGUCUGUAACUGACGCUGAGGAGCGAAAGCGUGGGGAGCGAACAGGAUUAGAUACCCUGGUAGUCCACGCCGUAAACGAUGAGUGCUAAGUGUUAGGGGGUUUCCGCCCCUUAGUGCUGCAGCUAACGCAUUAAGCACGGUCUUGGGAUUCAGUUGGGCACUCUAAGGUGACUGCCGGU
rnacentral:rRNA from 1 species